rnacentral:rRNA from 1 species
CAGCAGCCACGGUAAUACGGAGGAUCCGAGCGUUAUCCGGAAUUAUUGGGUUUAAAGGGUGCGUAGGCGGAUAGAUAAGUCAGUGGUGAAAGACGGUGGCUCAACCAUCGCAGUGCCGUUGAUACUGUUUAUCUUGAAUAUGGAUGAGGUAGGCGGAAUGUGGCAAGUAGCGGUGAAAUGCAUAGAUAUGCCACAGAACACCGAUUGCGAAGGCAGCUUACCAAGGCAAAAUUGACGCUGAGGCACGAAAGCGUGGGGAUCGAACAGGAUUAGAUACCCCUGUAGUCCCUGUCUCUUAUAC